rnacentral:rRNA from 1 species
UACGGGGGGGGCAAGCGUUGUUCGGAAUUACUGGGCGUAAAGGGCUCGUAGGCGGCCAACUAAGUCGGAUGUGAAAUCCCCAGGCUCAACUUGGGAACUGCAUCCGAUACUGGAUGGCUUGAAUUCGGGAGAGGGAUGCAGAAUUCCAGGUGUAGCGGUGAAAUGCGUAGAUAUCGGGAGGAACACCGGUGGCGAAGGCGGUUCUCUGGGCCUUACCUGACGCUGAGGAGCGAAAGCGUGGGGAGCGAACAGG